CCGUAACUAUAACGGUCCUAAGGUAGCGAAAUUCCUUGUCGGGUAAGUUCCGACCUGCACGAAUGGUGUAAUGAUCUGGACACUGUCUCAACCGUGAGCUCAGUGAAAUUGUAGUAUCGGUGAAGAUGCCGAUUACCCGCGAUGGGACGAAAAGACCCCGUGAACCUUUACUAUAGCUUAACAUUGAAUUUGGGUAAUUGAUGUGUAGGAUAGGCCGGAGACUUUGAAGCGCAGACGCCAGUUUGUGUGGAGUCGCUGUUGAAAUACGGCCCUUUGAUUAUUUGAGUUCUAACCCGUUGUAACGGGGACACUGUUUGGUGGGUAGUUUGACUGGGGUGGUCGCCUCCAAAAGUGUAACGGAGGCUUCUAAAGGUGCCCUCAGGACGAUUGGUAACCGUCCGUAGAGUGUAAUGGCAUAAGGGCGCUUGACUGGGAGACAUACAAGUCGAUCAGGUAGGAAACUAGAGCAUAGUGAUCCGGUGUUUCCGCAUGGAAGGGACAUCGCUCAAAGGAUAAAAGGUACUCCGGGGAUAACAGGCUGAUCCCUCCCA
rnacentral:rRNA from 1 species